rnacentral:rRNA from 1 species
AGGAUUAACGCUGGCGGCGUGCCUAACACAUGCAAGUCGAACGAGGUAGCAAUACCUAGUGGCAGACGGGUGAGUAACGCGUGGUCAACCUACCGUUGAGUGGGGGAUAACUAGCCGAAAGGUUAGCUAAUACCGCAUACGAGUCUCGGGGGCAUCCCUGGGCCUUAAAAGGAGCAAUCCGCUCGAUGACGGGACCGCGUCCCAUUAGCUAGAUGGUGGGGUAACGGCCUACCAUGGCACCGAUGGGUAGCUGGUUUGAGAGAGCGACCAGCCACACUGGGACUGAGAAACGGCCCAGACUCCUACGGGAGGCAGCAGUGAGGAAUUUUCCGCAAUGGGCGAAAGCCUGACGGAGCGACGCCGCGUGUGGGAAGAAGGCCUUCGGGUCGUAAACCACUGUCGAAGGGGACGAGUAAUGACGGUACCCUUGGAGGAAGCCCGGCUAACGUACGCGCCAGCAGCCGC